UACGAAGGGGACUAGCGUUGUUCGGAAUCACUGGGCGUAAAGCGCACGUAGGCGGAUUCGUAAGUCAGGGGUGAAAUCCCGGGGCUCAACCUCGGAACUGCCUUUGAUACUGCGGGUCUUGAGUCCGAUAGAGGUGGGUGGAAUUCCUAGUGUAGAGGUGAAAUACGUAGAGAUUGGGAAGAACACCAGUGGCGAAGGCGGCUAUCUGGACGGUUUCUGACGCUAAGACGCGAAAGCGUGGGGAGCAAACAGG
rnacentral:rRNA from 1 species